rnacentral:rRNA from 1 species
GCUCGUAGUUGGAUUUCUGCCGAGGACGACCGACCGACCCAUACGGGUUUGUGUCUGUGUUAGACCGAGGCAUCCUCUUGGAAGACGUGCUCCAAUUAAUUUUGGACACGGAGCCAGGACUUUUACUUUGAGGAAAUUAGAGUGUUUCAAACAGGCGUUCGCGGUGAAUACAUUAGCAUGGAAUAAUAAGAUAGGACUUCGGUUCUAUUUUGUUGGUUUCUAGAACUGAAGUAAUGAUUAAUAGGGACAGUCGGGGGCAUUCGUACUUAACUGUCAGAGGUGAAAUUCUUGGAUUUGUUAAAGACGAACUACUGCGAAAGAUUUUGCCAAGGAUGUUUUCAUUGAUCAAGAACGAAAGUUAGGGGAUCGAAGACGAUUAGAUACCGUCGUAGUCUUAACCAUAAAACUAUGCCGACUAGGGGAUUUGGAGGGCGUUAUUUUUGACACCUUCAGCACCUCGAGAGAAAAUCAAAGGCUUUUGGGGUUCCGGGGGGGAGUAUGGUCGCAAGGGUUGAAAACUUUAAAGGAAAUUGACGGAAGGGGCACCACCCAGGAGGUGGAGGCUUGCGGCUUAAAUUCGGACUCAACACGGGAAAACUCACCAGGUCCCAGACAUGGGAAGGAUUGACAGGAUUGAUAGCUCUUUUCUUGGAUCUAUGGGGGGGGGGGGCAUGGCCGUUCUUAGGUGGUGGGAGUGAUUUGUCUGGGUUAAUUCCGUUAACGGAACGAGAACCUUAACCUUGCUAAAUAGUCGGCUGUAACUUUGUUACAGUUGUACUUCUUAGAGGGGACUUCGGGGAUUCAAACACGAGGAAGUUUGAAGGGAAUAACAGGGUCUGUGAUGCCCUUAGAUGUCCUGGGCUGG